UCGAGCGAACAGACGAGGAGCUUGCUCCUCUGACGUUAGCGGCGGACGGGUGAGUAACACGUGGAUAACCUACCUAUAAGACUGGGAUAACUUCGGGAAACCGGAGCUAAUACCGGAUAAUAUAUUGAACCGCAUGGUUCAAUAGUGAAAAACGGCUUUGCUGUCACUUAUAGAUGGAUCCGCGCCGCAUUAGCUAGUUGGUAAGGUAACGGCUUACCAAGGCAACGAUGCGUAGCCGACCUGAGAGGGUGAUCGGCCACACUGGAACUGAGACACGGUCCAGACUCCUACGGGAGGCAGCAGUAGGGAAUCUUCCGCAAUGGGCGAAAGCCUGACGGAGCAACGUCGCGUGAGUGAUGAAGGUCUUCGGAUCGUAAAACUCUGUUAUUAGGGAAGAACAAAUGUGUAAGUAACUAUGCACGUCUUGACGGUACCUAAUCAGAAAGCCACGGCUAACUACGUGCCAGCAGCCGCGGUAAUACGUAGGUGGCAAGCGUUAUCCGGAAUUAUUGGGCGUAAAGCGCGCGUAGGCGGUUUUUUAAGUCUGAUGUGAAAGCCCACGGCUCAACCGUGGAGGGUCAUUGGAAACUGGAAAACUUGAGUGCAGAAGAGGAAAGUGGAAUUCCAUGUGUAGCGGUGAAAUGCGCAGAGAUAUGGAGGAACACCAGUGGCGAAGGCGACUUUCUGGUCUGUAACUGACGCUGAUGUGCGAAAGCGUGGGGAUCAAACAGGAUUAG
rnacentral:rRNA from 1 species